ACGGGAGGCAGCAGUGGGGAAUAUUGGACAAUGGGCGCAAGCCUGAUCCAGCCAUACCGCGUGGGUGAAGAAGGCCUUCGGGUUGUAAAGCCCUUUUGUUGGGAAAGAAAUCCAGCCGGCUAAUACCUGGUUGGGAUGACGGUACCCAAAGAAUAAGCACCGGCUAACUUCGUGCCAGCAGCCGCGGUAAUACGAAGGGUGCAAGCGUUACUCGGAAUUACUGGGCGUAAAGCGUGCGUAGGUGGUUGUUUAAGUCUGUUGUGAAAGCCCUGGGCUCAACCUGGGAACUGCAGUGGAAACUGGACAACUAGAGUGUGGUAGAGGGUAGCGGAAUUCCCGGUGUAGCAGUGAAAUGCGUAGAGAUCGGGAGGAACAUCCAUGGCGAAGGCAGCUACCUGGACCAACACUGACACUGAGGCACGAAAGCGUGGGGAGCAAACAGGAUUAGAUACCCUGGUA
rnacentral:rRNA from 1 species